rnacentral:rRNA from 1 species
UGGUAGUGGGGGAUAACGUUCGGAAACGGACGCUAAAACCGCAUACGUCCUACGGGAGAAAGCAGGGGACCUUCGGGCCUUGCGCUAUCAGAUGAGCCUAGGUCGGAUUAGCUAGUUGGUGAGGUAAUGGCUCACCAAGGCGACGAUCCGUAACUGGUCUGAGAGGAUGAUCAGUCACACUGGAACUGAGACACGGUCCAGACUCCUACGGGAGGCAGCAGUGGGGAAUAUUGGACAAUGGGCGAAAGCCUGAUCCAGCCAUGCCGCGUGUGUGAAGAAGGUCUUCGGAUUGUAAAGCACUUUAAGUUGGGAGGAAGGGUUGUAGAUUAAUACUCUGCAAUUUUGACGUUACCGACAGAAUAAGCACCGGCUAACUCUGUGCCAGCAG